AUGCAGGACUCUCUUGUGCUCGGAGCUCACAUGCGUGGCUUUUGGGUACUUCUCUGUGAACCUGUCAGUGCUGGUGGGGAUGUCCAGCAUCAGGACUUCCGUGUGAGUUGAGGGCGAGGUCAGCAGUCAGGAAGGAGCGACAGAGGCUGAGAAGCACAGUGAGAGAUGAGACAGUUCAGUAUGAUAGCGCCUUGGAAUCAAAACCUGGGAUGGUAUUGAUGACUUUUCCCUCCAUGACAGCAGUUGUUCUAUGAAGGUCUGUCUCACUGGGAAAAAAGAAAAAAAAACCAACAUACUUUGCCUGGGCAAGAGUCCUAAAGAUGGAUUCCGAGCUGGCAGUAUUCUUCUUUUCAGAAAGCAACAGAUUUUAACUUGGCCUAGCAAUGAGUUGUCCAACAUAGGCUAAGGCAUGAGUUCCCACUGCUAAAAAAGCUGUCACUAGACUUAAUGAAGAUAAGAAGUAGUUAUGCAGCAAAAAGUGAUCCGCGUGCCUUGGCCCUCUUACUGCAUGUGAGAAUGUGUGCACCAGCCUCAGCCAUCUCAGGGAGAUCAGGAUGAAGCAUUCAAGCCACCAUCUUGGAGGCAGAGACUGGGCCCUUGCCAGACACCAAACCUGCUAGCACCUUGAUCUUGGA